rnacentral:lncRNA from 1 species
UGUAAAAUUAAAGACUUGAUGAGGGAGAAAAAGAAAACCGAUUCGCAGCUACAAGAAGACGGCUUCCAAAUAAGAAUCAGAUACUGGACGAUGGGGGAAACAACAACAUGAAACAUAGCAUAAGAACGGAAACCCAGAGGUGAAGAACAGUGCUCAAACGCAACUUUACCCAUAUAAUAAAACGUCUUCCAGACGUUCAAAAUAAGAAAGUGGACAAAAUCAAAGCUACAAACGAUCUCCAAUAACUAGAUGGAAAACACUAGUUGCACUAGAGAUUUUGAAUGCUUUGUUGUUGAUUUAUAAUCCUCGACUUCCAAGAAAAAGUAACAAGUAGAAAUGGACAAAUCAGAUCCGCAAUCGAAGAUCUGAAGACAAGAUAAGAUAAGGCUAAAUAACAUUAGGAAAACGGUAAAAACGUCCAAAACAGUGUGAGAAAUAUCGCAGAUUCAAAGGUCCGAACCCUAAGAACGGUGUUAUGCAGCUAUAAAGGUAAGAAUCAAAACCCUCUAUACAUAACGUGGACAGUGCGGUUGAAUUAUUGUCUUGUUCCUUGAAACUGAAGGUAUGCGACACAUAGAAUUCGAUCUCACUAUUAUCUUCUGAUCAACGACGAAGUAAAGAAGUGAAAUCCAGAACAAAGAAUGGAGAAUUGGAAAUGAAAAGAAAAAUGGCAGAGGAAAGUGAAAAAGUGAAAGCAGACUCACCU